rnacentral:rRNA from 1 species
GUAGGUGGCAAGCGUUAUCCGGAAUUAUUGGGCGUAAAGCGCGCGCAGGCGGUUUCUUAAGUCUGAUGUGAAAGCCCACGGGCUCAACCGUGGAGGGUCAUUGGGAACUGGGGAACUUGAGUGCAGAAGAGAAAAGCGGAAUUCCACGUGUAGCGGUGAAAUGCGUAGAGAUGUGGAGGAACACCAGUGGCGAAGGCGGCUUUUUGGUCUGUAACUGACGCUGAGGCGCGAAAGCGUGGGGAGCAAACAGGAUUAGAUACCCUGGUAGUCCACGCCGUAAACGAUGAGUGCUAAGUGUUAGAGGGUUUCCGCCCUUUAGUGCUGCAGCUAACGCAUUAAGCACUCCGCCUGGGGAGUACGGUCGCAAGACUG